rnacentral:rRNA from 1 species
UACGUAGGGGGCAAGCGUUAUCCGGAUUUACUGGGUGUAAAGGGAGCGCAGACGGCAUGGCAAGUCUGAAGUGAAAGGCAUGGGCUCAACCCGUGGACUGCUUUGGAAACUGUCAGGCUAGAGUGUCGGAGAGGCAAGUGGAAUUCCUAGUGUAGCGGUGAAAUGCGUAGAUAUUAGGAGGAACACCAGUGGCGAAGGCGACUUUCUGGACAGUAACUGACGUUGAGGCACGAAAGUGUGGGGAGCAAACAGG